CAGCCGCCGCGGUAAUACGAAGGGUGCAAGCGUUACUCGGAAUUACUGGGAGUAAAGCGUGCGUAGGUGGUGGUUUAAGUCCGUUGUGAAAGCCCUGGGCUCAACCUGGGAAUUGCAGUGGAUACUGGGUCACUAGAGUGUGGUAGAGGAUAGUGGAAUUUCCGGUGUAGCAGUGAAAUGCGUAGAGAUCGGAAGGAACAUCUGUGGCGAAGGCGACUAUCUGGGCCAACACUGACACUGAGGCACGAAAGCGUGGGGAGCAAACAGGAUUAGAUACCCGUGUAGUCCCUGUCUCUUAUAC
rnacentral:rRNA from 1 species